rnacentral:rRNA from 1 species
AUUGAACGCUGGCGGCAGGCCUAACACAUGCAAGUCGAGCGGAUGAAGGGAGCUUGCUCCUGGAUUCAGCGGCGGACGGGUGAGUAAUGCCUAUGAAUCUGCCUGGUAGUGGGGGAUAACGUCCGGAAACGGGCGCUAAUACCGCAUACGUCCUGAGGGAGAAAGUGGGGGAUCUUCGGACCUCACGCUAUCAGAUGAUCCUAGGUCGGAUUAGCUAGUUGGUGGGGUAAAGGCCUACCAAGGCGACGAUCCGUAACUGGUCUGAGAGGAUGAUCAGUCACACUGGAACUGAGACACGGUCCAGACUCCUACGGGAGGCAGCAGUGGGGAAUAUUGGACAAUGGGCGAAAGCCUGAUCCAGCCAUGCCGCGUGUGUGAAGAAGGUCUUCGGAUUGUAAAGCACUUUAAGUUGGGAGGAAGGGCAGUAAGUUAAUACCUUGCUGUUUUGACGUUACCAACAGAAUAAGCACCGGCUAACUUCGUG